rnacentral:tRNA from 1 species
GUGGUAGCAGCUCAAUGGUAGGGUUCCCGCUCCGUACGCGGGAAGACCUGGGUUCGAUUCCCGGUUGCUUUC